GCAGUAGCCGCGGGAAUACAGAGGGUGCGAGCGUUAAUCGGAUUUACUGGGCGUAAAGCGUGCGUAGGCGGCUUCUUAAGUCGGAUGUGAAAUCCCUGAGCUUAACUUAGGAAUUGCAUUCGAUACUGGGAAGCUAGAGUAUGGGAGAGGAUGGUAGAAUUCCAGGUGUAGCGGUGAAAUGCGUAGAGAUCUGGAGGAAUACCGAUGGCGAAGGCAGCCAUCUGGCCUAAUACUGACGCUGAGGUACGAAAGCAUGGGGAGCAAACAGGAUUAGAUACCCCGGUAGUCCCUGUCUCUUAUAC
rnacentral:rRNA from 1 species